rnacentral:lncRNA from 1 species
GUUUGCUUCCUUUGUACUGUUUGUUUUCCACUUGGUCUAGGUACAUGGGUCAUCUGAUCACGACGGCCCUAAUUGGUUUAUUGACCAACUACAACUAUUUAUCAGGCAUGAUGGAUUAAUAGAAUCGUGACAUCGAGGCUGGUCGUAUCUAUGAGUCAACAAACCCCUCGAAUAGAUAUGUUGCAGUUGAUGUAUGAACUGUCUGAUUGCUGGGAUGUUUUCGCCGGCGCUUCGAAGUAAUGGCCCCAAGUCGAUUGAUCCCGGUAACAAAAAUCAAGUCAAAUACAUGGUAUUCUACCAUUUACUGCAGUUUCAAAUUCUUUCAAUCCUAAUUUCUCGGUUUUGUGACUCUCCACAAUGAUCCGUAGUAAUGGGUUGUCUGAAGGUUUCCACUCUAGGCUUGUUGGUGAUAUUUCGUCACUUGACGUAAGUAGUUGCUCAAUCGUAUACUCGAAUGUAUCCUGAUUGUGGAAUGUGGCUCCUCCCUCUGGCCCUUGGCCAAAUAAACAGGUCAAGGAGGUAGCCGAGCAUCUUGAGAACCUUAGUGAAGAAAUCUGCCAUAUGCUUGUUUUUCCAUGAGUUCGUCCAACAUGGGUCCAUCAAGACAAAAUGGUGAGAUGCAGUCAGGUUGAAUCCCGUACCUCCCUUUCCUGUUGUCAUGAACCAUAGCUGCAAGUGCUGCUGGCCAUCCUGAUCCUCACCUUGGAAGCGACGAGCUUAAAGAAUGCGACAGCAGUUUUGCAGACGUUUUCGACAAUUCGACAACUAGAAACGGUGUGUAAGAAGAAGAAAGUGAAUGGUGGCCGGAGCGCUUGUAUCAUAGAUCAUUGGUUGUUUUUCUUUGCCCGAAUUUGUGGUUUUAAUUUUCAAAUGUUGCCUUGCUGCUUCGCUUUCAACAGAUUCGACUUGAUGCCUGUCUCUAGAAGCCAGACCCAACAGAUGUUUCUACCGUUUCUCAUCUUCUCUUUUUUCGCUUAUCAUCUCAUCGUCUGAUGGGUGAUUCACCCAAUGCAUGACGAAAUUUUGCAGCUGCUGUCAGUCACCACGGAGACCCAAUAAUGUGGUCCAGAUUUCGACUUGUGGUAGAGAUCUUCUGGUUUGCGCUCUGGAAUGGGAAGCAUGAACUGUGGAAGUAACCCGAUAUCUGGGUCCUUCGCAUCCAACUCGGCGAUACUCUUGCGACCUUUGGGGGUAUUUUUUCCCAGGAAGCAUUUUUCUUAUAGGAAGCAAAGGCCUGAGAAAGCGGCUAACGGGUUUUUGUGCCUUCAAAUAUACUGCGGUACUCGAGAUGCGCGAGCAGAUAUGUCGGCGGACCUCGAUCAGAGGAGGCGAGGAAUGUGUGAAGUGCAUGCCGUGUCUCUGAGGAAGUCCUGUAACGUUUGACAAGGCCAAGUCAGCUCAAUCCUUUUCAUGACAAGAAAGCAGCUUCACCCUACCUUCUCGCGGACUAACGAAACAAAACACCUUUUCUGUCAUCUCCUCCUUCCUCUUCUCAUACGACAUCUGUGUGAGUGCCGUAUGGACCAUAUUGUAAUCUUCGAUAGCAAUCAAUCUCUUAUUGGCGUCUUCAUAGAACAUAAUGAUGCCCAAGUCGGCGAUGUUCAUUUAAUCGAUGGCUGACACCUAGCGCUUGGGCUUGUCAAAACCCAAGCCAGACACCUUGGCAUUACCGGUAAGGCAGUGAGUUUGAAUCACCUGCACGUCUUGAUCGGGGAAGUGUUCGGAUGUGUUGCCUUCCCCGCUCAUAUUUUCGCAAACUCCUUCAAAUCCUCGGUAGCGUGUCUGAUAUAUGUCAAAUUCGUCUCUUCCCAAUCGUAUCAAUCCGAAUCAUUCUUCCUCAGUGCAACAUUCUCGUGUUGUAGUGGAGAAAACCGUGCCAACGGCACACGGAUUCGCGCAUUUUGGUAAUUCGUACACGAGAUAUGGCCGUUUCAAUAUUUGUUUUGAGGUUGAUACCUUUUUCUUUUAUGUCUGACACAAGGUACUGUCUGGUAUGACCCAGAUCAUUCUUUAGUUCCCCCAGUAGUAGGGUUUCGGUGAA